AAUACCAGGUCGUUCCCAAAAGGAUUCGACACUGGAAUGAGUUUAACCUAAAAAUUUAAAUGAGUAACAACUGGAGGGCAAGUCUGGUGCCAGCAGCCGCGGUAAUUCCAGCUCCAGUAGUGUAUCCAAACGUUGCUGCGGUUAAAACGCUCGUAGUUGGACAAGAGAGUAACUUGGUGCGGGCGGGGAGUGUAAUAGCUCUAUAACUAUUUCCAUUGUAUUUAGUGUAGCUUGUUCACGAAAGUGGCAAGUUGCAUUGAUGCGAUGGGAUGAAUCAUAGUAGUAGCACUUGUCGACCAUGCUGCCAGGUUACUUGUAAUGAUUCGUGAGAAUAGUACAUGGUCUUAAUUGUACUGUGUACUGUGUCUUACGUAGUGUGCCUUGAAUAAAUCAGAGUGCUCAAAGCAAGCUAUCGCUUGAAUGUUAAUAGCAUGGAACGAAUGUGUUGUGAGAGUGUGCUGCUAGAUUGCACUUGUGUAGUCUGGUAGUACACAGCACCAACCGCGAAGCGGACCAUUGGUUGCCGACUUCGGGUGAGGAUUAAGAGGGACAUUUGGGGGCAUUAGUAUUUGGCCGCGAGAGGUGAAAUUCUUGGACCGGCCAAGGACUAUCAAGUGCGAAAGCAUUUGCCAAGUAUGUUCCCUUUAAUCAAGAACGAAAGUGAGAGGUUCGAAGACGAUCAGAUACCGUCCUAGUUCUCACCGUAAACGAUGCCAACCCGGGAUCAGUUCGGAUGAUUAUAUUUGGAUCCAGGUUGGUCCCCCUGGGAAACCUUGAGUUUUUAGGUUCCGGGGGGAGUAUGGUUGCAAAGCUGAAACUUAAAGGAAUUGACGGAAGGGCACCACCAGGGGUGGAGCCUGCGGCUCAAUUUGACUCAACACGGGAAAACUCACCUGGUCCGGACAUCGAUAGGAUUGACAGAUUGAUAGAUCUUUCAUGAUACGGUGGGUGGUGGUGCAUGGCCGUUCUUAGUUCGUGGAGCGAUCUGUCAGGUUUAUUCCGGUAACGAACGAGACCACGUUCUUCAUUUGGGGAACUAGAAGACAAGUGAUACUGGUCGUUGUAAUGAUGGAGACUGUCGCUUACGCGAUAGUCAAAGUUAUGUGAUGAUUGGGAUCAUUUGAACUUCUUGUGUGCGUGCAGCAAUGUGCGUCCCUAUG
rnacentral:rRNA from 1 species